ensembl:lncRNA
GUUAGCUGAUCUGAUGUUAGAUGUUAUUUCCUUCCAGCACUUGUUAACGUUGUUAGAAGAAAGCAAUGUGCUUAACGUUAUCUGCGAAAGUAAACUGGCUACCUAAUGAACCAGGCUGUUAACAUUUGGAGGAGCGUCUGUGCGAGCUGGUGAGACAAUACGAGAACGUUUACAACCCUUUGAUGCGGUUGUAUUCGGACAAGCAAAAGACAACAGCUGGAGGGAGAUAUCACAGAAUUUGAACACCGGUACUGAUAUCAAAGAAACAUGGAGAAAGAUUCAGGACCGGUAUGUUUGCAAUCUGAAAAAGGUGAAGGAGAUGAGUAGUGGGUGUCUGUCCCACCGAUUGUCAGACCACUAGAUUGGCUUCGUGUUCACGUGAAGCAUCAUCAGACAGACACCAAUAUGCCAGAUACGUCCGGAGAUGGAGCUGAGCCCUGAGGGGCCCCAUCUACAGGUGGUUUAUCGCCCCUUGAUUCAUCAUCUCCCCGGCUAGCAAAGACCCGUGCUCUCUGCCCUGCAACUCCAUCAACCUCCAUCCCAUCUCCCCGGCCCAGCUCCAAUGGCCGGAAGAGGAAGACCGCCUGGGAUCCUUUGGACACUGACAUUAUGCAGCGCGUGGAUGCCUGCAGCAGGAGUUCCAGAAACCGCAGCAGUGUUCAGCAAAGGCUGUCUACGACGUCGUGGUACCAGGGAUGGUGUCUAUUCCUGCUGAUCAACGUCUCUUGUUUGUCUCACUCCAAAAACGAUUGUGCUUUAAAAAAUAUAUAUUAUUCAUACAUUAGGGUGG